UCAUAAACCUGAUUGACGGGGAAAGCUCCCGAUUCUUCAUCGGGACUUAUACCAAAAGCAGGACUGCAU
rnacentral:sRNA from 1 species